rnacentral:rRNA from 1 species
AUUGAACGCUGGCGGCAUGCCUAACACAUGCAAGUCGCGCGAGCUGUAGCAAUACAGCUAGCGGCGGACGGGUGAGGAAUACAUAGGAAUCUGCCUCAGAGCGGGGGAUAGCCCAGGGAAACUUGGAGUAAUACCGCAUGAUGUCGAGAGACCAAAGCCGGGGACCGCAAGGCCUGGCACUCUGAGAGGAGCCUAUGUCUGAUUAGCUAGUUGGUGAGGUAACGGCUCACCAAGGCGACGAUCAGUAACUGGUCUGAGAGGACGAUCAGUCACACCGGAACUGAGACACGGUCCGGACUCCUACGGAGGCAGCAGUGGGGAAUAUUGGACAAUGGGCGCAAGCCUAUCCAGCAAUGCCGCGUGUGUGAAGAAGGCCUCGGGUUGUAAAGCACUUUAGGCU